rnacentral:rRNA from 1 species
ACUGAGAAUAAUACUCCAUAGGUCUAGAAGGCUGGAAUGCAUCUAGGCUGAAAACUCCGGUGCUCUAGGAUGAGUCUGCGGACUAUCAGGUUGUAGUCAGGGUAAUGACCUGACUAGCCUACGACGGAUACGGGUUGUGAGAGCAAUAACCCGGAGAUGAUAUCUGAGACACGAUAUCAGGCCCUACGGGGCGCAGCAGGCGCGAAAACUUCACACUGUGCGAAAGCACGAUGAGGGAAUCCCAAGUGCUUGCUCGUAAGAGUAAGCUGUUUCUUUGUUUAAAACGCAUUGAGAGUAAGGGCUGGGUAAGACGGGUGCCAGCCGCCGCGGUAAUACCUGCAGCUCUAGUGGUGGCCGCUAUUAUUGGGCCUAAAACGUCCGUAGCCGGUUUAUUAAAUGCCUGGGUAAAUCGUGUAGCUUAACUAUACGAAUUCUGGGUAGACUGAUAAACUUGAGAUCGGGAGUAGUUAGAGGUACUCCUGGGGUAGAGGUGAAAUUCUGUAAUCC